AACGAACGCUGGCGGCAUGCCUAACACAUGCAAGUCGAACGAGACCUUCGGGUCUAGUUGCGCACGGGUGCGUAACACGUGGGAACCUGCCCGUAGGUUCGGAAUAACUCCCCGAAAGGGGUGCUAAUACCGGUUAAUGUCUUCGGACCUAGGAUUUAUCGCCUUUGGAUGGGCCCGCGUUGGAUUCGCUAGUUGGUAGUGUAAAAGCCUACCAAGGCGACGUUCCAUAGCUGGUCUGAGAGGAUGAUCAGCCACACUGGGACUGAGACACGGCCCAGAAUCGUACGGAAGGCUGCAGUGGGGAAUACUGGACGAUGGGCGCAAGCCUGAUACAGCAAUGCCGCGUAAGUGAGGAAGGCCUUAGGGUUGUAAAGCUCUUUUACACGGGAUGAUAAUGACAGUACCGGGAGAAGAAGCGCCGGCUAACUCCGUG
rnacentral:rRNA from 1 species